CAAAGUUGUUCAUAUUUUUCUCAAGAUGAAAUCCAUCAUCGCUUUUAUUACUUGUAUUUGUUACUCGCUACAAUAUAUAUUUGGAAUUGAUGACAUAGUUGUAAAUUCGCCAGUUCCAAAUAUGAACUGGACGUCGCAGACAUUUUUGAUACCAACCAGGCCUUCGUUUUGGCCUCCAAGUCUCGAGGGAGAUGACCGGACGAACUAUCUGAUUCAGAACCGGUGGCUGCAGCGAAGCGAAAGCAGACACGUAUCAGAACAACCCGCUCGGAACUACUGUUUGCGCGGAUACGAAGUUGAAAGGGAGGUAGAUUUUAUUGCGUAUGAACACGAACACAGAUUUAACCUAUGGGGCUAUGAGUUGAGCUUGACGGAGCUACAGAUGGAAAUGUCUCUGCGAAGGAAUAUCGAAAUGGGGUGUGAACAAAUGUUUGAACCAAUCCACAGACGACAUAAUUUUUUCUAUGGGCGUGAGGGAUGCUGCGGGGGACAGUGUGACAAGUUUCAGGACCACGGAUUUGCCCGCAUGCUGAUGUCGCUUCCCGAUUAUAUCUCAAAACUAACGGACUAUUCUAGUGAUGGAAAAGAGUUGAAUUACAUUCGAGCUUUCUUCUUGAAUAGAUGCCGAUUGAAUAUCAUCACUAAAAUCGGUUUUGGAACUGGCAGAUUGAUACGGGAUAGUCAUCCAUAUGUUAGAACUAGUCAUCUUCCAGGGUUCAAUUACAUUUUCGGUAAUUUUGAUCACCUCAACGGUGACAUUCAGAUUCCGUAUGAAAAUCCCGAGGACUUUUUAACUUUCAAGUGGUUCAAAAAUACGGUGAUGUGUCGAGAUCAACCAUGGAUUUGCGAUCCAGAUGCCAUAGAUACUGGCAAUACUUGAGUCGUCAAUGAUCAAAUUACUAAAAGAAUCUCCUACAGUUUCAACUCCAAGAAUGAAGAAAAAAUAUUCGCAAUGCUGAUUUACGCUAAAAUUGUGGAACAAUUUUCUCACAAUCAACUUCUUUUUUUUCAACGUCAUA